rnacentral:rRNA from 1 species
CCUACGGGCGGCUGCAGUGGGGAAUUUUGGACAAUGGGGGCAACCCUGAUCCAGCCAUUCCGCGUGAGUGAAGAAGGCCUUCGGGUUGUAAAGCUCUUUCGCAUGGGAAGAAAACUUACUCAAUAACACUGGGUGAGGCUGACGGUACCUUGAUAAGAAGCACCGGCUAACUACGUGCCAGCAGCCGCGGUAAUACGUAGGGUGCGAGCGGUAGUAGGAAGUACUGGGCGUAAAGCGUGCGUCAGCGGUGAAAUCCCCGGGCUCAACCUGGGAACUGCGUUUGAAACUACAAGGCUAGAGUAUGGCAGAGGGGGGUAGAAUUCCACGUGUAGCAGUGAAAUGCGUAGAGAUGUGGAGGAAUACCGAUGGCGAAGGCAGCCCCCUGGGUCAAUACUGACGCUCAUGCACGAAAGCGUGGGGAGCAAACAGGAUUAGAUACCCCAGUAGUC